rnacentral:piRNA from 1 species
CUAAACUCCAGAUGUCAGUGAUAAU